AAUCAGCCAACGAGCCUCCCCUCCCCUCCCCUCGAUCUGUUUCCUGGUUCCAUCGUCAAGGACGCCCCAGCCGCGGAGCCCUUCGCCGCCUCUGAGAUCCGAGAGGAACUGCCGCCGCCAUCCGGCUCUCGCGUUGGCCGCCACCAGUCGAUCCCCAGCACCUCCUCGCUGUUCCCAAUCCCAUCCUAUGCGCGCCCCUGCGGCUAACCCUAGCCGCCAACUCGUGUUGCGGGCACUGAGUAUGGGAGCGGGGCGGCCGCGUCACUGAAGGUGAAGGGGUGGAGCGGCUGGGGCGUCACCGCUUGGGUGCAGAAGCAGUGGCAGCGGUGGCGCCGUGCUGGGGCGGAGGACAAGGAUAGCGAUGUGGUGGUUCGAGCCUGGGGCAGAUUGAGGUGGACAGGACUCCGGUGAGAAGCGCCUAAACAAGCUUGGUUACAAGGAAGAGCUCCGGAGGGAGAUGACGCUGGACAUCACUUUCUCCAGGAUGAUGAUCUUCAGUGGGAUCACGUCUUUCUACGGUAGCAUCCUCCAGUAUGCGAGGCCGUCCAGCCUCGUGCGGGGCUGGGUCAUCGUCUCCUUCUUCACCUUGUUCAUCGGUGUCGUCAUGUUGGGGAUUUCUCCUUCCCUACGCUGGACAUCACUUUCUCCAGGAUGAUGAUCUUCAGUGGGAUCACGUCUUUCUACGGUAGCAUCCUCCAGUAUGCGAGGCCGUCCAGCCUCGUGCGGGGCUGGGUCAUCGUCUCCUUCUUCACCUUGUUCAUCGGUGUCGUCAUGUUGGGGAUUUCUCCUUCCCUUUCUUUGGACCUCUAACUACUGAAGCUGAAAAUGAAGUCCACGAUUGUUUGUAUGGCAACGGUUCAGGUAGCAAAGUCCUGGUGCUGCAUGAACCGUCUAACAUUCAGGUUAGCAGGGGAAAAAUCAGUGUUUGAAACCACAUGGCAGGUUAAAUGACGAGCUAAAUAUUCAUCUUACAUGUACUAAACCAUCCUUAUUGAUUGCAAACAUGUAAAGUUUGCACUGAUGUUUUUAUACGUAAUGGGGAAAGUGGGAUCCCUUGUCUUCAGGUCAUUAAUUUGUACCUUGAAUUAUUAAAGGAGAGGGGAAUAAAAAAACCCCAAAGGUUCUCUAAAUGCAGCUUCUUCAAUACAUUUUAUUGACAGUUGAUGGAUGGAUCCAGUAGGCCUUGGUAGUGCUAAGCGUGUUUGAAUCCACUAUAGCUAAGCGUGGAAACCACUAUUGCUUGAGUCAUUCUUCCGGUCUCCCAUUGGUAUGUGGGGCGUACCCCAUGUAACAUUAUGUUCUCUGAUA